CAUUGGCGUUAUUAGGCCUAUUUAAGGGGGACUGAAGCCCCCCUAAAAUAUUCUUUAGCCCCCCUAAAUAUAUAUUUUUUUUAAUAUAUAUAUAUAUUUUACAAAAAAGUGCAGACAAAUUCAAUACAAAGACGCAGGAAUAUGAGUUUAAAUGAAUAAUAAUAUAACAUGUCAUUAUUCACUUAAAUAUGAUCACAAAUCAUUUGGUUUCCCCUGACUUCACUGUGUAAGGUGGAGAGCCUUCGUCAGCGCUUAGUUAUUCAAUCCGUUCCACUUGUUGAUAUAGAGAACGCCCACAUUACUGAAAAUCCAGUCCGUGUUUUCACUGCUGCCAGCAGCAACACCUACAUGCUCCCUGCGCAGUCACAGCGAGACGGUCACGUCCAUAGACAUAAUAAAAGGGUAGACCCCGCUCGGGGUGCUGCGCAGCGAGAAAUGCGGCCGCCAUCUUGGUCAGGUCAAGCUUCCCAUACGCUCCGGUCAAUCAUAUUCAUUCAUUCAUUCAGCGAUACCGGAGCACUGUGCGGCGUAUUCCUGUGCCAACAGGCGGACAGCAGAGAACAGGGCUCAAGGAAUAACUACACAGUUAUGAUUAAACGUUUUUUAAACAUUACACUUGACUGUUGAGUCAUUUGUAGGCCAAAGAGGAAGACUAUCGGUCAACUCCAAAAAGGAAACAGCAUUUGCGAACAGCUAGCUUAUUCACAAUAAUAGCAACUUUGCUCUAUUAUCAACAGAUUUGCAUUAGAUUGAAAAACUUUUGUUUGAGAGAAGUUCUAAGAAACGUUAAGAAAUAAAAUAGAAAGAAGAAGGAAGAAAGUGAGCUCUGUUUUAUUAUCUGUUUUAUUAAAGAUUUCUUUGUGGUGAUCUCCUGUUUCAUUUUGAAGAUUCCCUAAGGACGAAAACUUGAGGAAGAAGUGGGAGAUUGCUGUUAGAGGGAGAAGUUCGCAGCAAGUGAUUCCUCUGUGCUGUGUAGCCAACAAGCAAAUUGAUAUGUAGCUUAGAUGCUGUCCUGUCAUGCUGUUCUUGUGUUUAAAUUUUUUUAAUAUGUAGGCUAUAUGUUUGUGUGUAUUUCUUUGUGUGUAUUUUCCAGUUAUUCAAAUAGUGCUUCUAUAUGACAUUAUUUGUGUGUGUGUCUACAAAUGGAUAAAUAAAAUUAAACUAAAUAAAAUAUAAUCAAAUCAAUAUAUAAUGAAUUGGCCUAUUAAAACCGCCAGUUAUUAAUAAUUAUUGAGACAUAGCAGGAACCUAGCUCUAAACCUAGAUAUAUACUUGAUUAAUUGUUAUACUAUAAUACAGCCACUGCUGCCACGUUCUAAAAUAUCAUUUUAUUCAUUCUGAGUAUUUGAAAACGCCAAAAAAAAAAUAUGGCCUCUAUCAUGCCUCUUUGAAUGGCGUUUGCAGAGAAGAAAAUUACGUAGUAUUGAGCGAACUAUGAUUCAUUUAAUGCGCUCAGACUUCAUUCCACCGGUUAAACAGCGGUGCAGAGUGAGGCGGAUGACCGGACCAAGAUGGCGGCCGCAUUUCUCGACAGCGCCCAUUCGUGGUAGCGGCCGAUGUGGGGUCUAUCUUUUAUUAUGUCUAUGGUCACGUCACGAGCCAGGCAGAGAGCAGCAUCAUGGACAUAUGCAAGUUUUUCAAAAAAGUAAGUCUUUAUAGCUGCUGGUAGUAACAAUAAGUUCCAGCUAACAGCAAAUAGUCCCAUGUAAUUUAUGAACCAGGUGCUCCUCAUUUUGAUAAAUAAAAAACUGGCUAUCACACCAAGUUAAAUUGUUAGCAUGAUGUUGAUUUCUGUCACUUGUUUUAGCUCUGAAUAAACCGAGCUGAGCUCAUUCACGUAUGAUUAUCAUUAGUGGAUAAUAAUAAUACACUAAUAAUACUCACCCCACCAUCCCCACUGACCUGUAGGAGUCAGGACAGAGGAGCACAGCAAGUGAGAGGGGAGACACCUCUACUGGAGAGGUGAGUCUAAAAGAAUUCACAGGAGUGAUGCAGACAGUCUGAUUAGAAUUUUAUGGAACUCAAUAUGGAUAUGAAAUUUCAGUCAUGGUGCACCAUAUAAGACUUAUUUCACUUGAGUUUUUAUUUAAGAGAGUCAAGAUGAGAAAGUGGAGAGAGCCAAGAGAUAAAUUAGCCUGACCCAAAUAUUUUUGGGGGUUCUAUUUUCAUAUUACUUUAAGUCAAGUAAUUUAGUAAUAUUUUUCAGGGCUUUAAAUUGCAACCAUUUUAGUCACAUAUGGGCCCAAAAUGUAAUCUGUGUAACAUCUUACUAUUUGGGAGCAAAAAAUUACUGUGGUGUGUGAGCUUAAGUCAUGACAUUAGCCUCUAUGUUGGAUUAGUUAUUAAUUCAAUGUGUUUCAAUGUAUCUUGGAGGGUCAGGCAGAAGGAAAGGCUGAGGAGCUGCAGCAAAUGGCAGAGGAAGCUGAGAGCAAACAGGCCAAGAGAGGGAAAAUAAUGAAGCAGCUGCAGCAACUCAUUCCACUACAGGGUUUGAUUUAGGUGACAAAGACACAGGGCCUAGACAGGUCAAGCUGAAGAGCUACCCACAAGAUAGUUUUGGUACACAGAAGCGAGCAUUUCACUACAGCUGGUUUGAAAAGCACAACUGGUUAGGAUAUUCAGUCAACCAGAAUACAGCUUUCUGUUUCCCAUGUAGUGUGUUUGCCAAAAACAUAAAACAUGAUAGUUUGGUCAGUAGUGGUUGCAAGAACUGAAGAAAAAACAGACUGAAAUAAAACAAAAAAACUACUGGUGGCCUGAGACUACAUCUUAGUUAAAUCCGUCCAAAAAAGCUGAAAAGCAAUUUCUCAGUCUUUGUUUUCUGUUUGUGAAAUUUUGUGCUCGCUCACUACGUUCACUCACAUCCUGUUCAUCUCUUGGGGGCUAAGCCCCCCCCCCCCUGUCCUUAAAACCUAGUGACGCCCCUG